UGGGGAAUCUUGCGCAAUGGCCGAAAGGCUGACGCAGCGACGCCGCGUGCGGGAUGACGGCCUUCGGGUUGUAAACCGCUGUUGCCCGGGACGAACACCCCUAUUCGUAGGGGCUGACGGUACCGGGUGAGGAAGCACCGGCUAACUCUGUGCCAGCAGCCGCGGUAAUACAGAGGGUGCGAGCGUUGUCCGGAAUCACUGGGCGUAAAGGGCGCGUAGGCGGUCCGGUAAGCGUGCGGUGAAAGCCCGGGGCUCAACCCCGGGUCGGCCGUGCGAACUGCGGGACUGGAGCCGAUCAGAGGCAGGCGGAAUUCCGGGUGUAGCGGUGGAAUGCGUAGAGAUCCGGAAGAACACCGGUGGCGAAGGCGGCCUGCUGGGGUCUUGGCUGACGCUGAAGCGCGACAGCGUGGGGAGCAAACAG
rnacentral:rRNA from 1 species